rnacentral:misc_RNA from 1 species
GAUGAAGAACGCAGUGAAAUGCGAAAAGUAAUGUGAAUUGCAGAAUUCAGUGAAUCAUCGAAUCUUUGAACGCACAUUGCGCCCCUUGGUAUUCCGAGGGGCAUGCCUGUUCGAGCGUCAUUAUAACCCCUCAAGCUCAGCUUGGUGUUGGGGCCUGCUGCACUGGCAGCCCUUAAAAUCAGUGGCGGCGCCAUCUGGCUCUAAGCGUAGUAAUUCUUCUCGCUAUGGAGUCCUGGUGGAUGCUUGCCAUCAACCCCCAAUUUUUCUAUGGUUGACCUCGGAUCAGGUAGGGAUACCCGCUGAACUUAAGCAUAUCAAUAAGCGGAGGA